rnacentral:rRNA from 1 species
AUUGAACGCUGGCGGCAGGCCUAACACAUGCAAGUCGAGCGGAUGAAGGGAGCUUGCUCCUGGAUUCAGCGGCGGACGGGUGAGUAAUGCCUAGGAAUCUGCCUGGUAGUGGGGUAUAACGUCCGGAAACGGGCGCUAAUACCGCAUACGUCCUGAGGGAGAAAGUGGGGGAUCUUCGGACCUCACGCUAUCAGAUGAGCCUAGGUCGGAUUAGCUAGUUGGUGGGGUAAAGGCCUACCAAGGCGACGAUCCGUAACUGGUCUGAGAGGAUGAUCAGUCACACUGGAACUGAGACACGGUCAAGACUACUACGGGACGCAGCAGUGGGGAAUAUUGGACAACGGGCGAAAGCCUGGUCCAGCCAUGCCGAGUGUGUGAAGAAGGUCUUCGGAUUGUAAAGACCUUUAAGUUGGGAGGAAGGGCAGUAAGUUAAUACCUUGCUGUUUUGACGUUACCAACAGAAUAAGCACCGGCUAACUUCGUG